rnacentral:sRNA from 1 species
CAGCUUACUGCAACCUCCGCCUCCCGGGAGAUUCACUUGAACCCGGGAGGUGGAGGUUGCAGUGGGCCAAGAUCGAGCCGUUGCACUCCAGCCUGGGCAACAAGAGUGAAACUUUGUCUCAAAAAAUAAAAGAAAAUUGAGUGGCCCACCCAAAUUUUAGGGCGUACCUCCUUCUAUUUGAUAAGAAGAUACUAUUUUCAGUGUCCCUGGAAGAAUUCUUCCAUCCAAUUUAUAUGGUGAAUUGCCACCAGCGUUCCCUAAAGGAAGAGAGAACUUAGCUUAUUUCUGUCUGUGACUUUUAUCAGUUAGAUCAGUUAAUUGUAUUUUUAAAUUAAAAAUUAGUAACUAGAGGAAGAGACUAAGAGAACUAUUUUUACCUGAAUAAAUGCUCUACUCUUCUUGUGUCCAAAUCUAAUGCAGAGGUGAAAACACUUGAUGAGAAAAUCCUUAGUGGCUCGAGGGGAAUCACGUUUCUUUCAGGACGUGUUGUUUCCCUGAAGUCUGUGUCACACUGAGAACUUUUUCUGACUGCACUGGUUUGGAGCUAUUCAUUUAAAUUGAGUUUGGCCCAGUUGUCCUAGUAUAAAAUAGGAAAUCUACAUUUUUCUCUACCUUCCAUCCCUUCCCCUGCCUUUCCUAUACACGCUGGUGUGCUUUUGCC